GGCCUCGUAGCUCAAUUGGCUAGUCUUAGCUGUACUAAAGCCUUCCCUUUGCUGACGUGGGUUCGAAUCCCACCGAGGCCG
rnacentral:tRNA from 1 species